UCCAACAAGAACAAUGUGUUC
rnacentral:piRNA from 1 species